rnacentral:lncRNA from 1 species
AUUGUGGGAAUUCUGUUAUAUCUAUACACGUGUCCUCGGGAACCUCUACCUCUUCCUCCAGGUAAGGGUAUUUGGGAACCUGAAACUCCUCCUCCACUUGUGUGUCCUCUGAAACCUCAGACACCUUCACCAGAAGAUUCUCUAGAACAUUAUAUACCUUCUUUAUGUGUGUGUGCUCUGGGACCUCAACCCUCUUCUCCAGCUGAAGAUUUUCUGGAACCUCAGUCACCUUUUUCACUUAAGGUUCCUCAGGGACUUCAACCACCUUUUCCAGCUCUCUGUACUAUAGGACCUCAUCCAUCUGCUGCAGCUGUCUGUCCUGUGAGACCUUAUCCACCUGCUGCAGCUCUCCCCUGUGGGACCUCAUCCACCUGCUGCAGCUGUCUGUCCUUUAGGACCUCAUCCAUCUGCUGCAGCUGUCUGUCCUUCAGGACCUCAUCCACCUGCUGCAGCUGUCUGUCCUGUGAGACCUUAUCCACCUGCUGUAGCUGUCAGUCCUCUGGGACCUCAUCCAUCUGCUGUAGCUGUCUGUCCUCCGGGACCUCAUCCAUCUGCUGUAGCUGUCUGUCCUCCGGGACCUCAUCCAUCCGCUGUAGCUGUCUGUCCUCCGGGACCUCAUCCACCUGCUGCAGCUGUCUGUCCUUUAGGACCUCAUCCACCUGCUGCAGCUGUCUGUCCUGUGAGACCUUAUCCACCUGCUGUAGCUGUCAGUCCUCUGGGACCUCAUCCAUCUGCUGUAGCUGUCUGUCCUCCGGGACCUCAUCCAUCUGCUGUAGCUGUCUGUCCUCCGGGACCUCAUCCAUCCGCUGUAGCUGUCUGUCCUCCGGGACCUCAUCCACCUGCUGCAGCUGUCUGUCCUGUGAGACCUUAUCCACCUGCUGUAGCUGUCAGUCCUCUGGGACCUCAUCCAUCUGCUGUAGCUGUCUGUCCUCCGGGACCUCAUCCACCUGCUGCAGCUGUCUGUCCUCCAAGACCUCAUCAGCUUGCUGCAGCUGUUUGUCCUCUGAGACUUUCUUGUUCUGUGAGGCCUCUGGGACCUCAGCCUACUUCUCUUAG